CAGGGUCUUGCUCUGUUGACCAGACCGUGACCUCCUGGGUUCAAGCGAGGACUCAGCCUCCUGAGUAGCCGGGACUACAGGGUCUUGCUCUGUUGACCAGACCGUGACCUCCUGGGUUGAAGUGAGGACUCAGCCUCCUGAGUAGCCGGGACUACAGGUUCUUGUUCUGUCAUCCAGGCUGGAGUGCAGUCGUUAUCCAAGCUCACUGCAGCCUUAAACUCCUGGGAUCCGUGGAUCCUCCCACCUCAGCCUCCAAAGAAGCUGGGACUACAGGUGCACACCACCAUGGCCAGCUAAUAUUUCUUAUUUUUUGUAGAGAUGAGGCCUUGCUGUAUU